AAUGAACGCUGGAGGCAGGCCUAACACAUGCAAGUCGAACGGAUCCUUCGGGAUUAGUGGCGGACGGGUGAGUAACGCGUGGGAACAUACUCUUUGGUAAGGAAUAGCCUCGGGAAACUGGGAGUAAUACCGUAUGUGGUCGAGAGAUGAAAGAUUUAUCGCCGAAGGAUUGGCCCUCGUUGGAUUAGGUAGUUGGUGGGGUAAUGGCCUACCAAGCCGACGAUCCAUAGCCGGUUUGAGAGGAUGAUCAGCAGCAUUGGGAAUGAGACACGGCCCAGACUCCGACGGGAGGCAGCAGUGGGGAAUCUUAGACAAUGGGGGAAACCCUGAUCUAGCCAUGCCGCGUGAUCGAUGAAGGCCUUAGGGUUGUAAAGAUCUUUCAGGUGGGAAGAUAAUGACUGUACCACCAGAAGAAGCCCCGGCUAACUCCGUGCCAGCCGCCGCGGUAA
rnacentral:rRNA from 1 species